rnacentral:lncRNA from 1 species
AUUCUAGGGUGAGGGCUCUAUUAAGUCCCUCACCGGUGUACCACUCAACUUAACCGUCAGAUUAAUCGAGUAUAUAUUAUCCCAUUAGACAUUAACACACUAUAUCAAAGGCUUCCUUUCACCCCGCAAAACAUUCAUGAAUCUUCAACUGACCGAAAGAAAAAACACACACACAAACUAGGAUUUUGUUCAUGAAAAAUUAAGAAAUAGGGGAAUUUUGUGGAAGUGGAAGAAUGACAUGGAUUUUGAGAGAUACCCCAGAUUUUAACAACUUGCCUCUUCACAUAUCCCUCUCAUGGCUAGAAAAUUACCAAUUUGAAUCUUGACUUUGUAGAUUGCGUUUCAAUUUCUCAUGCCAAGAUCUACAAAGCCCUAAAAUAAUUUCUCAAUUUAAGUAUUUGACAAUUUCUUUUUUAUUAGAUCCACCUUUUUUAAUCAUAAUUUAAGAAUGAAAUUGAAAUUAAGAACGUGAAAAAAUUACAGAGGCAAGGUUUUUUGAAACAUCCAUGUUGUGAUUUUUUGAGAAAAAUAAAGUUACCCCCUAUUAUUAUAACUUGUGAAUUGUGGGAGGUUAUUGUCGUUUUCACUAGAUCAAAUUUUCUGGGCUGUGUUUUGUGUUGAAGAUAUUUUCUACAUGUUCAAACCCAUGAUAGUUUGAAAGGA